GUGCAGCAGGCGCGAAUCUUCCCCAAUGGGCGAAAGCCUGAGGGAGCGACGCCGCGUGCGGGAUGAAGGGUCUUCGGCCUGUAAACCGCUUUUAUUUGGGAAGAAGUGCAAACUGACGGUACCAAAUGAAUAAGAGGUUGCUAACUCUGUGCCAGCAGCAGCGGUAAUACAGAGACCUCAAGCGUUAUCCGGAUUUAUUGGGCGUAAAGCGUCCGCAGGUGGUUCGUUAAGUCAAUGGUCAAAUCACGGGGCUCAACCCCGCAACUGCCAUUGAUACUGGCGAGCUUGAGGCCGGUAGAGGUAAGCGGAAUUACAGGUGUAGCGGUAAAAUGCGUUUAUAUCUGUAAGAACACCAAAGGCGAAAGCAGCUUACUGGAACGGUCCUGACACUCAUGGACGAAAGCGUGGGGAGCGAAAAGGAUUAGAUACCCCUGUAGU
rnacentral:rRNA from 1 species